rnacentral:lncRNA from 1 species
UUAGGAUAGGGAAACAAAGGUGAAGUCCUUGCCUAGUUUCCGUCUCGUUAAGUGGUUUAUCACUUCAACAUUUUAUGAUUCAAAAUCAUCAUAAGUCCAUGUUAAUGGACUAUUUUUGUCAAUCAACCAUUAUGUUCUAAACAUAAUUACAAACCUUUAAGAGUUGUACAAGGCAACUCUCAUUUCUUCAUACAACAAUUUGUAAGUGAAGAAUCAUGGCACAUAAUGUAUUCAUGCCUUUGUGCUUUCUUCUCAAGUUCUUUGUUCAUUUAACAAAGAAACAAGCACUAAGUGUUUGCAUUGACUAAGAGUUGUUCAAAGCAACUCCUAUUUCUUCAUACAACAAAUUGUAAUUGAAGAAUUAUGACAUUUAAAAGUGUUGUCCUCUUUAUGAUAGACCUUUUCUAACAUAUUCUUCUAAUGAUACAUUAUCAAUAGUAAGAUUGUGAGGAUGAGACUACUUAGAUACAUAUGCAAUCCUUUUAAGACAUUCUUUGGGAUUGUGGUACCUAAG